rnacentral:rRNA from 1 species
GGAUUCGCUAGUAAUCGCGCAUCAGCCACGGCGCGGUGAAUACGUUCCCGGGCCUUGUACACACCGCCCGUCAAGCCAUGGGAGCCGGGGGUACCUGAAGUGCGUAACCGCGAGGAUCGCCCUAGGGUAAAACUGGUGACUGGGGCUAAGUCGUAACAAGGUACC